rnacentral:rRNA from 1 species
AGAGUUUGAUCCUGGCUCAGGACGAACGCUGGCGGCGUGCCUAACACAUGCAAGUCGAGCGAGGAAUGUCGGAUAGCUUGCUAUUUGAUAUUUCUAGCGGCGGACGGGUGAGUAACGCGUGAGCAACCUGCCUUUAUCAGGGGGAUAACGCAUCGAAAGAUGUGCUAAUACCGCGUAAGACCACAGCCUCACAUGGGGCAGGGGUCAAAGGAGCAAUCCGGAUAAAGAUGGGCUCGCGUCCGAUUAGCUAGUUGGUGAGAUAACAGCCCACCAAGGCGACGAUCGGUAGCCGACCUGAGAGGGUGAUUGGCCACAUUGGAACUGAGAGACGGUCCAGACUCCUACGGGAGGCAGCAGUGGGGAAUAUUGGGCAAUGGGCGAAAGCCUGACCCAGCAACGCCGCGUGAGGGAAGAAGGGUUUCGGCUCGUAAACCUCUGUCCUAUGGGACGAAGGAAGUGACGGUACCAUAGGAGGAAGCCCCGGCUAACUACGUGCCAGCAGCCGCGGUAAUACGUAGGGGGCGAGCGUUGUCCGGAAUGAUUGGGCGUAAAGGGCGCGUAGGCGGCCUGCUAAGUCUGAAGUGAAAGUCCUGCUUUCAAGGUGGGAAGUGCUUUGGAUACUGGUGGGCUGGAGUGCAGGAGAGGUUAGUGGAAUUCCCAGUGUAGCGGUGAAAUGCGUAGAGGUUGGGAGGAACACCAGUGGCGAAGGCGACUAACUGGACUGUAACUGACGCUGAGGCGCGAAAGUGUGGGGAGCAAACAGGAUUAGAUACCCUGGUAGUCCACACUGUAAACGAUGAAUGCUAGGUGUAGGGGGUAUCGACCCCUUCUGUGCCGCAGUCAUCACAAUAAGCAUUCCGCCUGGGGAGUACGGCCGCAAGGUUGAAA